rnacentral:rRNA from 1 species
AUUGAACGCUGGCGGCAGGCCUAACACAUGCAAGUCGAACGGUAGCACAGAGAGCUUGCUCUCGGGUGACGAGUGGCGGACGGGUGAGUAAUGUCUGGGAAACUGCCCGAUGGAGGGGGAUUACUACUGGAAACGGUAGCUAAUACCGCAUAACGUCGCAAGACCAAAGUGGGGGACCUUCGGGCCUCACACCAUCGGAUGUGCCCAGAUGGGAUUAGCUAGUAGGUGGGGUAAUGGCUCACCUAGGCGACGAUCCCUAGCUGGUCUGAGAGGAUGACCAGCCACACUGGAACUGAGACACGGUCCAGACUCCUACGGGAGGCAGCAGUGGGGAAUAUUGCACAAUGGGCGCAAGCCUGAUGCAGCCAUGCCGCGUGUAUGAAGAAGGCCUUCGGGUUGUAAAGUACUUUCAGCGGGGAGGAAGGCGGUGGAGUUAAUAACUUCACCGAUUGACGUUACCCGCAGAAGAAGCACCGGCUAACACCGUGCCAGCAGCCGCGGUAA